rnacentral:rRNA from 1 species
UGAGGAAUCUUCCACAAUGGGCGAAAGCCUGAUGGAGCGACACCGCGUGAAGGAUGAAGCCUUUGUUGGUGUAAACUUCUUUUCUCUGGGAAGAUAAUGACGGUACCAGAGGAAUAAGGGGCGGCAAACUUCGUGCCAGCAGCCGCGGUAAUACGAAGGCCCCAAGCGUUAUCCGGAAUUACUGGGCGUAAAGCGUCUGUAGGUGGUUUGAACAGUCUUAAGUGAAAGGUCAGGGCUCAACCCUGUACU